AUCACUUCUCGGCCUUUUGGCUAAAAUCAAGUGUAGUAUCUGUUCUCAUAAGUAAAUGUGGCCUAUGUUGCAAAUUCAAAACGUUAUUUCUAAAAUUUUGCUGUAUCAAAUAAACUAUC
rfam:Chlorocebus sabaeus isolate 1994-021 chromosome 4, whole genome shotgun sequence.